rnacentral:rRNA from 1 species
UGGAGGCAGCAGUGGGGAAUAUUGCACAAUGGGCGCAAGCCUGAUGCAGCGACGCCGCGUGCGGGAUGACGGCCUUCGGGUUGUAAACCGCUUUCAGCAGGGAAGAAGCGCAAGUGACGGUACCUGCAGAAGAAGCGCCGGCUAACUACGUGCCAGCAGCCGCGGUAAUACGUAGGGCGCAAGCGUUGUCCGGAAUUAUUGGGCGUAAAGAGCUCGUAGGCGGUUUGUCGCGUCUGCUGUGAAAUCCUCAGGCUCAACCUGGGGCUUGCAGUGGGUACGGGCAGACUAGAGUGCGGUAGGGGUGACUGGAAUUCCUGGUGUAGCGGUGGAAUGCGCAGAUAUCAGGAGGAACACCGAUGGCGAAGGCAGGUCACUGGGCCGCAACUGACGCUGAGGAGCGAAAGCAUGGGGAGCGAACAGGCUUAGAUACCCCGGUAGG